rnacentral:rRNA from 1 species
UACGUAGGAGGCAAGCGUUGUCCGGAUUUACUGGGCGUAAAGCGCGCGCAGGCGGCAGUGCAAGUAAGGUGUGAAAUCUCCCUGCUCAACGGGGAGGGUGCAUUUUAGACUGCACAGCUAGAGGUCGGUAGAGGGGGGUGGAAUUGCUGGUGUAGCGGUGAAAUGCGUAGAGAUCAGCAGGAACACCCGUGGCGAAGGCGGCCCCUGGGCCGUACCUGACGCUGAGGCGCGAAGGCUAGGGGAGCGAACGGG